rnacentral:rRNA from 1 species
AUUGAACGCUGGCGGCAGGCCUAACACAUGCAAGUCGAGCGGAUGAAGGGAGCUUGCUCCUGGAUUCAGCGGCGGACGGGUGAGUAAUGCCUAGGAAUCUGCCUGGUAGUGGGGGAUAACGUCCGGAAGCGGGCGCUAAUACCGCAUACGUCCUGAGGGAGAAAGUGGGGGAUCUUCGGACCUCACGCUAUCAGAUGAGCCUAGGUCGGAUUAGCUAGUUGGUGGGGUAAAGGCCUACCAAGGCGACGAUCCGUAACUGGUCUGAGAGGAUGAUCAGUCACACUGGAACUGAGACACGGUCCAGACUCCUACGGGAGGCAGCAGUGGGGAAUAUUGGACAAUGGGCGAAAGCCUGAUCCAGCCAUGCCGCGUGUGUGAAGAAGGUCUUCGGAUUGUAAAGCACCUUAAGUUGGGAGGAAGGGCAGUAAGUUAAUACCUUGCUGUUUUGACGUUACCAACAGAAUAAGCACCGGCUAACUUCGUG